UAAAAAAAGGUAAGCUACUAAGAGCGAAUGGUGGAUGCCUUGACUGGUAAAGGCGAUGAAGGACGUACUAGACUGCGAUAAGCUACGGGGAGCUGUCAAGAAGCUUUGAUCCGUAGAUUUCCGAAUGGGGCAACCCAAUGUAUAGAGAUAUACAUUACCUAUAUAGGAGCGAACGAGGGGAAUUGAAACAUCUUAGUACCCUCAGGAAAAGAAAUCAAUAGAGAUUGCGUCAGUAGCGGCGAGCGAAAGCGCAAGAGGGCAAACCCAGUGCUUGCACUGGGGGUUGUAGGACUGCAAUAUGCAAGAGGUAAGUUUAGCAGAACAUUCUGGAAAGUAUAACCAUAGAGGGUGAUAGUCCCGUAUGCGAAAAACAAACCUUAGCUAGCAGUAUCCUGAGUAGGGCGGGACACGAGGAAUCCUGUCUGAAUCCGGGUCGACCACGAUCCAACCCUAAAUACUAAUACCAGAUCGAUAGUGCACAAGUACCGUGAGGGAAAGGUGAAAAGAACUGAGGUGAUCAGAGUGAAAUAGAACCUGAAACCAUUUGCUUACAAUCAUUCAGAGCCCUAUGUAGCAAUACAGGGUGAUGGACUGCCUUUUGCAUAAUGAGCCUGCGAGUUGUGGUGUCUGGCAAGGUUAAGCAAACGCGAAGCCGUAGCGAAAGCGAGUCUGAAUAGGGCGCUUAGUCAGAUGCUGCAGACCCGAAACGAAGUGAUCUAUCCAUGAGCAAGUUGAAGCUAGUGUAAGAACUAGUGGAGGACUGAACCCAUAGGCGUUGAAAAGCCCCGGGAUGACUUGUGGAUAGGGGUGAAAGGCCAAUCAAACUUCGUGAUAGCUGGUUCUCUCCGAAAUAUAUUUAGGUAUAGCGUUGUGUCGUAAUAUAAGGGGGUAGAGCACUGAAUGGGCUAGGGCAUACACCAAUGUACCAAACCCUAUCAAACUCCGAAUACCUUAUAUGUAAUCACAGCAGUCAGGCGGCGAGUGAUAAAAUCCGUCGUCAAGAGGGAAACAACCCAGACUACCAGCUAAGGUCCCUAAGUCUUACUUAAGUGGAAAACGAUGUGAAGUUACUUAAACAACCAGGAGGUUGGCUUAGAAGCAGCCAUCCUUUAAAGAAAGCGUAAUAGCUCACUGGUCUAGUGAUUUUGCGCGGAAAAUAUAACGGGGCUAAAGU
rnacentral:rRNA from 1 species